AUGGCAUGAUGAGUGCACUUUCUAAGCAUAUUCUUGAAUCUUUUCCAACUCUCAUAAAUAGAUUCUCCUUCUAACCAAGUAAAAGAAGUAAUUUAAUUUUUAAGUUU